GAACCUUACCAGGUCUUGACAUCCCUGACAACCGAGAGAUCGGGCGUUCCCCUUCGGGGGACAGGGUGACAGGUGGUGCAUGGUUGUCGUCAGCUCGUGUCGUGAGAUGUUGGGUUAAGUCCCGUAACGAGCGCAACCCUUGUCCUUAGUUACCAGCACGUUAAGGUGGGCACUCUAAGGAGACUGCCGGUGACAAACCGGAGGAAGGUGGGGAUGACGUCAAGUCAUCAUGGCCCUUACGGCCUGGGCUACACACGUGCUACAAUGGUCGGUACAAAGGGUUGCCAAGCCGCGAGGUGGAGCUAAUCCCAUAAAACCGAUCGUAGUCCGGAUCGCAGUCUGCAACUCGACUGCGUGAAGUCGGAAUCGCUAGUAAUCGUGAAUCAGAAUGUCACGGUGAAUACGUUCCCGGGCCUU
rnacentral:rRNA from 1 species